CCUCAUUCUCCACCAGUUGUCAACGCCUGGGGGGCAGGGGGCGGGGGAGUCCUCCAAGAGGACCAGAAAAACUAGAUCAAAGUGUCCAGCUGGUAACAGAAGAGUGGGCUGCAGGGCCUGACCCUCUGGUAUUGGCUGCCCAGGGGGAGAGCAGUUGAGAUGAGCUCUCCCGGUGGGUAAUAAAAUGAGUCUACGUAGGGAGGAAGCAGGAUGUAUAAAGCCCAGGAGCCUGAUCUGUUUCUGAGAUCAAACAGAGCAGCAUUGUACCGGGGUGUGGAGCUGAUGUCAGCGUCUAGAAUGCUGGUCGGAAUCGCCCUGGUUACGCAGCUGGACCGGAAUAAGCAGGCCACUGCAGUCUACCUUUGGUGCUGGCACGUUGUGUGUGUGAGAAGACUGGCCCCACCAGCUCAGUGGAUGCCUCCACAACUGGCUGAUGGUUUGGUUGUCCCAAGUCAUCAUAUUUUUUCUUCAAAUACACAAAGCCCAACUUGAGGACCAAGACAAAACAACAUAAAUGUCCUUUAAAGCAAAAGUCCCAACCCAGCAACCCAGAACCUAGCAGACCCCAAGGAGCUCAGAUCCAAAAUGACCUCGUAACGACAGUGGAAAAACCCACACGAGAAAACCUUUCGUGAGGAGGGUGCUUCAUAAAAUCCAGCUGAAUAAACCUCAUUUCUCUAAACCGCCUUUCUCUGCUACCUCCAGAAGCCAGCCGCCUCGGGAUCUCAACGUGCCCCUGCAUGGUGACCAUCACCUCCCGUCCUGCUAUGUCUAAACUGCCAACCUCAGCUUCACGCUCGUUCCCUCCAUGAAAGUGCAUGAUUUCUACAUUGAGGCUCCUGGAAUCGCCCCCCUCCUCUUUUUCUCUUUUUUCAGUCCUCCUUUUCCUUCUUUGGGUCCUGAGCACCCUGCCAUUCUUCCAAAACGGCGAAAAGCGGAGGUGGGGGGGGGGCGGGGAAGAGGAGAAGCAAACGAAACUUCCCCACGGCGCUGUGAGUGACUGCUAGGUUUCCAUGGCUCACUUUCCACUGUUCCCGGUGACCCCUGCAGACUCCCCUUAUGAGUGAGUGUCCCGGAAUGUCUCUUUAUUAGGUGUCUGGAGAAGUAAAGCUGUCCUGAUGCCAGCGCCCCCACACUGAGGACUUUAUUAGUUUUUUAAUUUUCUGUCCGGGUGCUCCUGCUGCAUCAAACUUUCCACAGCUGUUAGGAGCUAUUAAGUAAGUAGCCUCAUCGGCCCUUUCCCCUCCCCCACCCCCUUCUUAAUAACACAAGAAACUUCUGGCCCUGCUACAUGGAGCCUUUAAAAUAAAGACACUUUGUCUCUCUGAUGAGAAAUCCUUGGAGGUCUGGGUGAGGAGAGGAUGUCCUGCCGUAAGAAAAGCGCCUUGUCUCGUCGCUGUCUGGGCUCAGAGCGGGCUCUUCAGACGACGUGGGGAACCGAGCCGGGGUGGGGGGCCGGGCAGAAGGGAGAACCCACUCUUUCAGCCAUUCUGCGCAGCCAGGAGGGGACCCGGGGUAGCUCUGACUGUUUUCAGGGCUGACUUGGAAUCCCGCCCAGAGCGUGAUGCCUGGUUCAAAGCGUUCCCUCCUGAUGGACAUUCUAAGACCUGCAGCGAAGGAUAAAACGGAACGAUUUGCUAACGUUCCCCAGGUAGGCACACAGCUGUGGUUCUGUGCAACAGGCCAGGGUUAUUGCUCCUGGCUCCCCUGGGAAGGAAAUCCUGAUCCCCACCCACCCCCGCACCAGCCCCCUCCCUGCCAGCGUCUGUGAGAUGCCUGGCCAUCCACAGGACUCCCUGUGUGUAAAUCCAAAGAUGGGUGCACACACACAUACACACACACAGGCACAGAGCGAUGUAUUAUUAAACCAAGCAACCUGGCCCUUUCCCAUAGCACCCGUGGAUCUGGAAGGUUAUGAGCGCUCAGUGGCAGAGGAGGACAGGCUAAGAGGCUUGAGAGCCCAGAGAAUUCUUAGCAUCCCUCCCUCGCGGCUCCAGCCUGCCUGGCAAUUUGCUUUCCAAUGGCUGCCUUUAAGCCUCCCUUUGAGAAGACCUUAUUUGCAGGGUAAAUGUGAAAGACUAGAGAGAAGAAAACCCUUUGGUGAUGCCCGCCUCGGGAACCAUUUUGCCUCUGAGAGCAAGUUGGUAUUUGGGGUUAAUCCUUUGGUGGAAACAUUGGGUUGAAAGCCCAGAGGAGGUCAGGG
rnacentral:lncRNA from 1 species